CAGUUUCUGAGCGCUGUUGCUGCGACGUUUCUAUAAAAGUAGCGCCCAAGAAAAAAGUCACCCAAGGCGAUUGCCUCGCCGCCUCACUUCUAGCGACGGUCCUAGGGCGUACAGUCGGAGUGUGAUAAUUUUGACGUGUGGAGUCAUCCGGGAAAGCCUGAUAGGAUUUUGUUUGUAUACAGUCUUGCUUGAGUUGUGCACGUCGCCGUUAUUAUUUUAUAGUCCGAUGAAGACAAAUUAAUACGCCAGAUUCGCUCGAAGUGCAUCUUAAUAUUAAGUUAAGCGAAGAAGUUUGUGAGAUGGCACCUGACAUCUUGUUUAAAACUGGUUACUAAUGCCUGAACAGAAAAUAUUAACUGAAUAUUUGAUAUCUGAAGCAAAUUUCAUCAAGUACAGUGUGCAAUUUAUUCACAUAAAUAAAUUCAGCAUGAAAAAAGAAAAUAAAGAUUUCCUGUAAAUUUAAGAAAAAUGAAAGAUA